rnacentral:tRNA from 1 species
GAUAGGAUGGCUGAGUGGUCUAAAGCAGCAGACUGCAAAUCUGUUAUUCAGGAGUUCGAAUCUCCUUCCUGUCUCAA